rnacentral:rRNA from 1 species
GAUGAACGCUGACAGAAUGCUUAACACAUGCAAGUCUACUUGAUCCUUCGGGUGAUGGUGGCGGACGGGUGAGUAACGCGUAAAGAACUUGCCCUGCAGUCUGGGACAACAUUUGGAAACGAAUGCUAAUACCGGAUAUUAUGUGAGUUUCGCAUGAAAUUCAUAUGAAAGCUAUAUGCGCUGCAGGAGAGCUUUGCGUCCUAUUAGCUAGUUGGUGAGGUAACGGCUCACCAAGGCGAUGAUAGGUAGCCGGCCUGAGAGGGUGAACGGCCACAAGGGGACUGAAACACGGCCCUUACUCCUACGGGAGGCAGCAGUGGGGAAUAUUGGACAAUGGACCAAAAGUCUGAUCCGGCAAUUCUGUGUGCACGAUGAAGUUUUUCGGAAUGUAAAGUGCUUUCAGUUGGGACGAAGUAAGUGACGGUACCAACAGAAGAAGCGACGGCUAAAUACGUGCCAGCAGCCGCAGUAA